rnacentral:rRNA from 1 species
GGGUUUACUCAUUGGUCAGGCUUAGGUGUCUGCACUGGUGAGAUGGAUCUCUACCUUCUGAGGAACUUUCAUGCCAUUUAUUUGGUGUGAUUGGAAAUCAGGACUGUUACUUUGAAAAAAUUAGAGUGUUUAAAGCAGACUAUCGUCUGAAUACAUUAGCAUGGAAUAAUGAAAUAGGACGGACUGAUUCUAUUUCGUUGGUUUCUAGGAUCACCGUAAUGAUUAAUAGGGAUAGUUGGG